rnacentral:ncRNA from 1 species
GUGGAGGUAGAAGGCCUACGGGUCAUUAACUUCUUUUCCCUGAGAAAAAGCAAUGAUGAUAUCAGAGAAAUAAGCAUCAAAUAACUCUGUGCCAGCAGCCACAGCAAUACAGAGGAUGC